UACGGAGGGGACUAGCGUUGUUCGGAAUUACUGGGCGUAAAGCGCACGUAGGCGGAUUUGUAAGUCAGGGGUGAAAUCCCGGGGCUCAACCUCGGAACUGCCUUUGAUACUGCAAAUCUCGAGUCCGGAAGAGGUGAGUGGAAUUCCUAGUGUAGAGGUGAAAUUCGUAGAUAUUAGGAAGAACACCAGUGGCGAAGGCGGCUCCGACGUGGUCCGG
rnacentral:rRNA from 1 species